AAGUCCCUCCCAUGACAUGUGAGGAUUAUGGGAACUACAAUUCAAGAUGAGAUUUGGGUGGGGACACAGCCAAACCAUAUCAACCAUAUUCUGCCUAAAUUAGACGUCUAUCUCUAAUCACAGCUUAAUUAUUCAAGUACCCACAGAUUCUUCUUUUAAUUGGUGAUUUUCUAAUACCAUUGCAGGACCUUCUGAUUGAUAGUUUGUGCACAAGUUUUCAAAAAGAAGUUAGUGUCUCUUUUUAAGAGAAAUUCGUCAACUACAGUGACAUUAGAACCAGUGAUUAAAAAUUACUGAAGUCACAUCUGUGGAUGUCUAUGCCUGUCUACUUUUUGUUUAUAGAACUCAUGACUAUUUAAAUGAAAACAGUCACCUCAGUCCUCACUAAAAACAAUGAUUAUUAAAAAUAUAAAAUUUAAGGUGGCUACAGAAUGAGGCAAUAAAUACCAGAGAAAUGGAGUCAUGAGUAAAAGUAUUAAUGUUCUUAAGGCUUCUUUUUGAUUAAAGUCUAAACAUUGUUUUUCAAUUCAGACUUAACAGGGAGGAUGCUGCAAAUGAAGGGAGCAUUUUUUUCUAUAAAGGCCCACACAGUGUCUUAUGGUAUCUUAGUACAUUUGGGCUGCUGUACAGUAACAGAAUACUAUAAAUUAGGUAGCUUCUAAAAAACAGAAACUUUUUUCUCAUGGUUCUGGAGACUGGGAAGUCCAAGAUCAAGGCAUCAGCAGAUUCAGUGUUUGAGGGGAGGACCUGCCUCCAGUUCAGAGACAGCCAUCCUUUCGCUGUAUCUUCACAUGGCAGAAAGGAUAAGUAAGCUCUCUGGGACCUCUGUUUUAGGGGCACUAAUCCCAUUGACGAGGGCCCCACCUUCAUUAUCUAAUCACCUCCCAAGAGCCCCAUCUCCUAAAACCAUUACAUUUGGGGGUUAGGUUUUGACCUAUGAAUUUUGAGGAGACACAUUCAGUUGAUGGCAGAGGGAGAUACUUGGUCUUAGAUACUUAGAUUUUUAACUCUGAAUUCUUGGGUACCUUUUAGAAAUAAGGACUGAUUUAGACUAGAGUCGUUGGGCCCAGCGCAACUCGAAGUAGCGGAGAGAGCGCGAGACUAGAGCGCAGAGCUCGGGACGUGCAUCCCAGCUGGCGCGAUGGGCGGAUGCAGGAGGAGGAGCAGUUCGAGGGCAUGUUGCUGGCCAUGGCUCAGCAGCACGAGGGCGGCGUGCAGGAGCUUGUGAACACCUUCUUCAGCUUCCUUCGACGCAAAACAGACUUUUUCAUUGGAGGAGAAGAGGGGAUGGCAGAGAAGCUUAUCAUACAGAUUUUCAGCAACAACAAUCAGCUGGCACAGAAGGCCCAGUGGGAGAAGAGAGCCCGGCAUGAGGCUGAGCGGCGGGGGAAGGUGGAGCGGGUGGCCAGGGUGGCCAAGGAAGCCAAGUCAGAGGCCUCAGGGCCCCAGAUCAAGGAGCUAACUGAUGAAGAGGCAGAGAAGCUGCAGCUAGAGACUGACCAGAAAAAGGAUACAGAGAAUCAUGAGGCCCAGCUCAAGAACGGCAACCUUAACUCCCCAGGGAAGCAGGAGACUGAGAAAGACGAAGAGGAGGAAGAUGAGAAGGACAAAGGAAAACUGAAGCCCAGCCUAGGCAACGGGGCAGACCUGCCCAAUUACCGCUGGACCCAGACCCUGUCGGAGCUGGACCUGGCGGUCCCUUUCCAUGUGAACUUCCGGCGAAAGGGAAGGACGUGGUGGUGGACAUCCAGUGGUGGCACCUCCGGGUGGGGCUCAAGGGGCAGCCAGUGAUCAUCGAUGGGGAGCUCUACAACGAAGUGAAGGUGGAGGAGAGCUCAUGGCUCAUUGAGGAUGGCAAGGUGGUGACUCUGCAUCUUGAGAAUAUCAAUAAGAUGGAGUGGUGGAGCCGUUUGGUGUCCAGUGACCUUGAGAUCAAUACCAAGAAUAUUAACCCUGAGAAUUCCAAGCUCUCAGACCUGGACAGUGAGACUCGUAGCAUGGUGGAAAGGAUGAUGAUGUAUGACCAGAGACAGAAGUCCAUGGGGUUGUCAACCUCAGACGAACAGAAGAAACAGGAGAUUCUGAAGAAGUUCAUGGAUCAGCAUCUGGAGAUGGAUUUUUCCAAGGCCAAAUUCAACUGGCCCCUGUUUUUACCUCCUUGAACUCUUGGGGCUGAGCUGCAACCAUCCAACUUUUUUUCCCACUCUUCUCUGGCCCUUGUGGGCCUCAGGGAUUGGGGCAGGCAUGGGACUGGCCCAGCACACAGGUCCCAGGGCAUCAGGAGAAAGGCUGGGGUUUGGGGUCUUGUCUUCCCCAGUUGGCCUACUGUUACACAUUAAAGCGAUUUGCUUAGCAAAAAAAGAAAUAAGGACUGAUUUAUUUCCUCAUUUGUGAUGCCAAAUUGUAAAGAUUAAGGUAAUUGUUCUGUUAAGGUAUGAAAAUACGCCACUUCUAAGAGACAGAGGCAGAUAGGAUAUUGGCAACCUUCACACCCUAGUUUGAAAGGUACUGGCCUUUCUUGGCUGUGCUGAGGCAUGAAUAAAUACCUCACUAUUGUGGUUACAAUAGUAACCAUACCUUUGUUGUGUUUUAUUUCUUCAAUUACCAUCUGUUGUUGCAGCCUUUAGCUAAAGCGCGGCUUUGCAAACUUCCACCUUAAGUCAUAGCACUGUGUCUUGGUGAAUUGAUUAUAGAGGUGGAAGUUAGUAUCUUAAAUUUGAUUCAGUCACAUAUGCCUUUUGGGUGACUUCACUUUGGAUCCUCAAAGGAUGACUUAGAGAAUGCCAAAUAAACACCCUGGCAACUGGUAAUGACCUUCUGGGAGAUUCUGACAGAUUGAGGUUUCACAACAAACACAGAUAAAAGACAGUUUUUCAGAAAACAGUGGCGAAGGAACUGAAUAAGUAAAGCAUAACUGAAGGCAGUAGAGGUAGUUGAGUGGAAAUGCAUAGAGCUGGGAGGAGUGGAUGGAGAAAGGAAAGGCAGCUUGCAGGAGGGCAUGUGAUAGGAGUAGAGCUGUGUGCCAGGGGUGGCAAGUUGACUCUCUUGGAUGGUACCAAGAAUUUGUCUUAUUGUAGUUAGACAGAGUUAGUUUUUGUUCUGAAUGAGACACUGAGUUUCCCUUAUUUCCUGAUAGGGGUUUUGAAUAUACUGACUUGAAGCAAGAACAGUUAUUGGAACUAUGGUAUCAGAUUUCCUGAAGGUAACAUUAUUCAUUAAAUAAUAAUGUUGCUCUUUGAGCCCUUAAAAUUGGCCUUUUUCUAGACUCCUAAACUCUUUAUGUUCUUAAUGAAAUAACGCUGGCUAGGGCCCUUACCAAACUCUGACCAGAAACAGUGAAUUAGAAGAUACAGAAGACUGGGAGCUAGAAAUUGAUUUUUUUUUUCAAACCCAUAUUGUCUCGAAAACAUCGACCUUAGGAUCUAUUCGCAUCCUUAACCCUGCCAACCCCUUGAUUCAUUCGCAAGAUUGCCACCCUCCUUGCUCUUUACAAUAGUUCAUUCUUUAAUUUCAAAUUUUGGUGCUAUUUUCAUAUUGUUUAAAUGAGGUUCACCUACCCAACAUGGUAGCUAUUUGCCUAAUAUCUUCGUUGUACCUAAACAUUGUGGAAAGUGGUUUCUUUUAUAAAUUUAAAAUGUUUAGCUUUUCAAACCCCUGUUUUCUCAUCUUCCUUUGUCAGAGUUCUGUUUGAGGUGAGCAAAGCCACUUGGAUCCUGAUUUAGUGGAUGAUUUUGGUGACAUUAAGACUUUGAGAUUGACUUUUCUCUCUCCCCACUCACCACAGUGGGAAUGCAUUUUUCAUCUUUUCUGUGGGGUGAUUUGGAGAAUGACUGAGAUGGUUAUUCCUUUUUUCCUCCUGUUUCAGUCUGUUUUGUGCUGCAGUGACAGAAUACUUGAGACUGGGUAAUUUAUAAGGAACAGAAUUUUAUUUCUCACUGUUCUGGAGGUGAGUGGGACGUCCACGAUCGAGGUGCCAGCAUUUGGUCUGGUGAGGGCCCUCUUGCCGCAUCCUUAUCUGGCAGAAGGCAUAAGGGCAAGUCGUCCAAAUGUGGAGUGAAGCCUCUUUUAUAAGAGCCCUAAUCCCAUUGAGAGGGAGAAGCCAUCAUGGCUUAAUCACCUUUAAAGGCUCCACUUGUAAAUACCAUCACUUUGGCAGCACCUACAUUUUGGAAGGGACACGUUCAAACCAUAAUACCCCCUCUCACCUAUUGCCUGCCCUCCUUUUGGGAGUGGGCAGCGGUGCUGACUGAAAGAUGCAUCCUCCAGGCUUCCUUGCCCUCUGGCUUCUAACUGGAUUGGCCAAGGGGGAACUUGAGGAGAACUAAGAGUGGGAGGGGAGAGAGCUGCCAGUUGCCACAUCUCUGCUCUCUGCUGCAGUUUUGUCAGUGGUGUGUCCCACCAAGAAACCACUCUUGCCUGGUGGGUCCUCUUUCAGGCCUCCAGCAGGUUACUUUCCUCUCCUUGAUGCUUCAAGUCACUUUCUACCUGGAUGCCCCUGUGGUACUCUUCACCCUUCCCUCAUCUUUGUAAAUAGACCUUCGAUCAGAUGUCUUCAUUGGAACUAUGUGAGUUGCCUCUAUGUAGUACAUGUAAGACACUGUUGAUUAAAAGUACAGGUAAGACACUGUGGUGUCAACACUUUCACAUGAGGAAACACAUAGCGCAUUAAAUGUGUGUGAUUAUAAGAUACGUCUUAAUUUCAGAUACGUUAAUACUUAGAAACAACACCCGUGACUCUCAAAACAGAGGGAAACCUAUGAAAUUGCUACUGGUUUUUCAUUGUAUUAAAGAUACCAUAAUAAAGAUCUUUGUUUAUAAACUUGCCUAUAUUUGAGAUUAUGUCCAUAGGAUAGGUGAGAAGAGAGUUAUAGACAUUUUCUAAGACUCGUUUCUUUUUGCCGCAUUGCAUUGUAAAAGGGUCAGACGUAUUUAGAGUGCCACCUGCAGCUUCUUAGCUCUUGUUUGACUGUCCAAUGUGUGUUGACUUUUCCACAGAUCUUUCCUAAUCUGCUAGGCCAAAGAGAGUCUUUCCAUUUGGCGGUGAAAGUGAACAUUUUCUAUUUUUUCUUGUAUUUUUCUUUUUCUUUAAAAAAAUCUCUUUUGCCUAUUUAUUUAUUGGGUCUUACUGUUUUUCAUAUGCAUGAGCUCUUUGUGUGAUAGGUCAGGGGUUAGCUAACUUUUUCUAUAAAGGACCAGCUAAUAGACAUUUCAGGCUUUGUGAGCCACACAGCUUCUGUAGGGUGAAAGCAGCCUUAGACAAUAGGCAACUAAUGAGGAUGGCUGUGCUCCCAUGUGGACACUGAGAUGUAAAUAUUAUAUAGUUUUUAUAUGCCCUGGAGUAUCAUUCCUCUUUAUUUUCUUCAACCAUUUAAAAAUGUAAAAACCAUUCUUAGCUCACGGGCUGUAGAAGAACAGGCGGUGGGCUGGAUUUGAUUAGUGGGCCAUAGUUUGCUGACCCUUGUAAUAGAUGAUAACUCAUUUAAUCUGUUUUGACUAUUUUCCUCACUUCCUUUUUUAGAUAAAUUUUUUAGGCCUACAGAAGUUUAAAUUUCUUACAACUUCAAAUUUUAAAUUUCUGGCCAUUUUUGUCAUGAUUCUGAAAGUUAGAAUGUUCUUACUAACGAUCAUAUCCAAAAAUACACGACUUAAUUUUAGCUUUAGAGACAUGUUUUUUAAAGAAUUCGCCUUUAUUCAUGUGGACUUUAUUUGUGUAUAGUGUGAUUUGGAAGUCUAAAUUUAAUUUUUUUGCAAGCAGCAAACCAAUUGUGGGUUGUUUUUGAAUCCUCCUGGUUAGUACCGGGUUCAUUAACUGUGCUUUGGGUACCUUUGAUCCUAGAUUUACAGCAUGAUAAUUUUCCAAGUUUUCAUUUAUGUUCAAGAAGUAUGGUACCAACCUGUGACAUGAGUUCCUCUUAGUUCUUCUUGGCUCAUCUGUUUCCAUGUGAGCUGGCAUUCACAGGAAAUUCAGAACUCUUAUAGGCAUAAUAUUAAUAGAUACAUGUGGAAAGAGUUGUUCUCUGAAAAAAAGUUUGAGUUUUUUUUUUUGAGACAGAGUCUUGCUAUGUCACCCAGGCUGGAGUGCAAUGGCCUGAUCUCGGCUCACUGCAAGGUCCACCUCCUGGGUUCACACCAUUCUCC